AAGCUCGUAGUUGAAUUUCGGGGUUCUACCGUCGGUCGGGCUACCAAGUCUGUACUGGUGUGUAGAAUUUCUACCUUCUGGAGAACCAUCAUGUUAUUAAUUUAGCGUGGUGGGAAACCAGGACCUUUACCUUGAAAAAAUUAGAGUGUUCAAAGCAGGCUUAUGUCUGAAUACAUUAGCAUGGAAUAAUAGAAUAGGACGGUGGUCCUGUUUUGUUGGUUUCUGAAUCACCAUAAUGAUUAAUAGGGAUAGUUGGG
rnacentral:rRNA from 1 species